UCUCCCCUUUAAUUCUCUGUCCCAUUGUCUGAGCAAAGUGAGGUUCGCCUGUGCUAUAGUUGGUGUAAACUUAGCUCAGCUAGUAUGUGUAACCUCUCGGAAGCGUGCCGGGAUGGUUAACUACACCGUUACCGGGCAAAUAACGCUUUUAAGGCAGUGUUAUUGCAACACGGCACAGACAUCUUUUUCUGGUUUAGUUGUUAUCCUUUUCUUAAAGAGUGUCAGAAUAAGUUGACAUUGUCUCUAUUUCCCAACAAGAAUUGCAGUGGUGGUGCAAAUUUUGGUGAUUUACUCUCAUGUCUAAUGCUCGUGCAACAGCACCUACAAAAGAACUAAAGAGGGGACAAACUCAGCAUAAAGCUGGUUUGGCUGGUGAAGACCCACAUAAGUACUUGAAAGAAUUUCAAGUAGUUUGUGCAGGUAGGUAUGAAACCUUGUGGUGUGUUUGAUGAGCACAUAAGUCUUAGAGUUUUUCCCUUUGCAUUAAAGGAUAAAGCAAAUUAUUAACUGUAUAAUAUUCUCCCUGAUUCAGU